GCUUCUUCUCUAAGGCUUUCUCUAUUGUUGUUGAAGGAGAGAAGCUCAGCAAAAACCAGAGGAACCGAGCAGCACCAGCCCCUCCAUCGUCGCACGCUCGGAAGGCCAUCGUCGGCCGUUUUCCUCCUCUGUUUUCUCCUCGUUCCAGUUUCUGCUCCAGCCGACCUUUCGCCAAUGAUCCGAGUAAAAAGUUGACUUCCCGGAUGAAUCAGCGAACGCUCCACCCACGUCCGUGACGAGGACAUCCAGACCGUUCCGGAUCACCUCGACGCUCGCCGGAACAAUUCUCCGAUCGUCCCGAAAUCCUGAGAGAAGCUGCCGCUCGCCGGACCGUCUGGUUCCGCCCUGCUCCGCCUGUUCCGUGUUUUCUUGUUAUUUCGCCCCAUUCCGACCAUUCCUUUGCCCGUCCCAACCUCCAGCAAGAUCCCCAAGACCCCCGGGAGCCGCUGGUUGCCAACCACCCGCUUGCUGGAGCUCCGAUCGGUCCGUUUUCGCCGUUGAAGUUGCUGGUUUUUUCUCUGCAGUUCAGUCCAGAUCAGAAGCAGAAGACAGCAAGGUUUUGGAGACUUCGUGGCCCAUUUUCAAGCCCUUCCCGGCCUCCGUUGGUGUCGCCGCUUUGGGGUUUAUCGACCGCCUUGGCGUCGUGGUCGCCGUGAACUCACCGGCGCGCAAAACCGGUCCCUAGAUGACGGUCGUGAAGGACCGAAAGUCCUGGAGUUCGGAAGGCGGAGGCUGAAGAAUUGGUGAACGUGUCUGACAAGUCGGUCAUAGGAUAGUUCCCUUUUUGUUGAGCCGGUCUAUUUUAUAGUCAAUCCAGUGUUGUAUAUAAACCUAUGUGUUUAUAAGAAAGCUUGUUUGGUUGUGAUUGAUUGCCUGCUUUUCUAUCCCAA